GUGAGAAAGCAACUGGAUGGAAAGAGAAAGGCCCGGGCUGGAAAACACCUGGAUGGGGCACACGUGGCCUUGGGGAGAGGUGGGAAAUGCAGGAACCACCCUUGAUCCUCGCCUGGUGCCUCCCCUUGGCCUCAGCAGGAGGAAACCAAGGAUCUCUCACACCUGGCUGGGAAUAAGAGCAGCUUCAGAUGGCUUUGAGGAAGAUGAAGGAGCACCGCUUUUGGUUUGAGUUGUUUUGCCGCUCCAGGGGCUGGCAGCACAGAGAGGAAACUCCAAGGAUGCCAUGAGUUGAGGAUAAAUAUGUGUUUUCUGUGAAUUAAACCACCAGCUCCACCCUUGUCCUCAGCCCCAGACUCUGACAGUCUCUCCCACAUUACUGGACCCUAACUGGAGACACUGGGCUAUGACUCUCUUUUGAGAAGAGCUUUUACCUAAGGGAAAUCCGAUUUCUGGAGCAGAGAACAGCAGGAACAAGGUCCCAAGCUGCAUCCCCACCCUGGCACUCUGGGCUUGGAGCGUGUGAGCAGUCAGCAUUAAUAUCCCAGCUGCCUUGGGCUGCUUGGGAGGCACAGCAGGGAAAAAACACUCGGUGAAACACGCUCAGUAACCUACUCUGGCUCUAGCUUAAAGGCUACAUCGAUAGAUUUUUAUAUAUAAAAUAGAGAUGGCACUGAGAACAGCCGCGGUCUCGGCUCCGUGAGCUCGCUGACAGCUCAGCGAGUCACCAAGGAGCGUCACCAUUUCACAGCCAGCAGCUGCUGCAGCUUCAGGGUCAGCUCCUGGGAGGCCAAAAUCGCAGAGCAAGAGGCUCUGGCAUCCUGUGGGGUCACAGCCUGCCCCGAGUCCCCUGAGCGAGCCAAAGCCACGCUCCGCAUCCAUCGGCCCUUCCCGGAGCGCUCCCAGCGCUGGCUCUGCCUUCAGCCCCAAGCAGCUGCGCUUUCAUCUGAGGAUAAGCGCGGAGAUAAAACAACGAAGCUCCAGCACGGCCCUGAGAAGCCUCCGCAAGGAGCCCGAGAGAGCCAGGAGCGGCAGGAGGG
rnacentral:lncRNA from 1 species